CCUGUUAUGUAACUAGCAGUAGCCUAGGAGCAGCGCGUCGCCAGUAAUGGUGAGGUGUGAGAGCGCUCUGACAAUGUACUCCCCGAUGUUUGGGUGCUGUUUUAUCGUGAGAUAAGCAGUGGAUUUUGCCAGUAGCAGGCAUAUGAGAGG
rfam:Kluyvera intermedia strain CAV1151, complete genome.